UGGGGAAUAUUGGACAAUGGGCGCAAGCCUGAUCCAGCCAUGCCGCGUGAGUGAUGAAGGCCUUAGGGUUGUAAAGCUCUUUCAGUAGGGAAGAUAAUGACGGUACCUACAGAAGAAGCCCCGGCUAACUUCGUGCCAGCAGCCGCGGUAAUACGAAGGGGGCUAGCGUUGUUCGGAUUUACUGGGCGUAAAGCGCACGUAGGCGGAUUGGUCAGUUAGGGGUGAAAUCCUGGAGCUCAACUCCAGAACUGCCUUUAAUACUGCCAGUCUAGAGUCCGGAAGAGGUGAGUGGAACUCCUAGUGUAGAGGUGGAAUUCGUAGAUAUUAGGAAGAACACCAGUGGCGAAGGCGGCUCACUGGUCCGGUACUGACGCUGAGGUGCGAAAGCGUGGGGAGCAAACA
rnacentral:rRNA from 1 species